rnacentral:rRNA from 1 species
UUGCAGCCAUAGCACGUUGAAACAUCGGUUCCCGUACGAUCACCAAAAAAUAAGCAAACGUCGAGCCUGGUCAGUACUUAGAUGGGUGACCGCUUGGGAAUACCAGGUGUUGUAAG